rnacentral:lncRNA from 1 species
AUGGAAAACCCUUAUGUCUCUGUAGGAGGAGAAGAUCUGAGCCAGAAGGAUGUCUUUUCUGAGCUGAGAGUAUGGAGAGAACAGCAUAAGCGGUGUCCGCAAACAGGUCAGCAAGACAAGGCUGACCGAGCAGUGAAGAUAACUGUUAGUGAUGAGGAAGAGAAUGAAGCCUUCAGCCUGGCUGCCAGCAGUGAGGAAGAGUUGAGGGAGACUUCUGAUGAGGACCUCAUUGAUUCUUCCUGCCACUCCUGUGUCUCACAGUCGUCUUCAGAUUCAUCACAUGCUCAGGAAGGCACAGCGUCCUCCAGCCUGAGCCAUUGUCUAAUUCCAUCUCCGCCGAAAAGCCCUUCGCCUGCCUCUCUAAGGGGUGUUGCAGCAAGAUGCUGGAAAACGAGGAACCACAGGGUAAGGUGCCUAAAACUGCCCAGCCAAGAGGAGGACAGGCAGUGGACACAGCAAUGCCAGACAAGGGAUAGGAAAGAAACUUCAGCCCAGCCUCUGGGCGAGGAACUUGCUCUCCUGAGCCUGCACAGUGUGCCAGCAGCACAUGAGCCUUCACCCUGCGGAUCUCGAGGAGAGCACCAGCCUGAUGGGAGCACGGGCAGGCAGAGACCUAUUUCAGGACCAGCAGCUGUUGGAUCAACAAGCAUCAGGCCUGUCAUGGACAAGAGUCCCCCCACAGUGAUCAACCAUCACCUGCCAGUUCUUCGCUCAGCAACAAAAGCCUCAAAGAAGUUUGGACCAGCAAAUGCAGUUUGGCCCCCAACUGCUAGGGCCACGCUGCAGAAGUUGCCAGACAGACCUGCUGUCUCGACAACGUCUCGGAGCAAGGGUCCCCAGUCCUAGAAGAUAGCCUGGGUGUGUUGGAGCCAUUUACAGAGCAUGAUCUUCAAUCACUGCGUGCAGUCCUUACACUUGAAGGAUCGAUGCUGUCUUUCAGCUGUUUCUGCAAGCUAAAAGCAGAGCUGUGCAAGUAGAGCAGUUUAAACAAAUGCUAUGAUUUGCCUCAAUUAAGGCUACAGCUGGUCCAGAAGUGCUUUCUUUAAAGAGCACCUGCUGAUCAACAUAAGAGCUAAUCAACCUCUUAUUACAGAAAACAUGGUUAUUUUUGCAGAGUUCAUGCACUAAAACAGAACAAGGCUUAACAUAUUUCCUCUCCUCUGCAUCAUGCCCUGCUCGGUGAGUGAGGCAGUGACACUAAACCAGACAGGGCUUAGAGCCUGCAAUUUCCAGAGUGGGCUGGAGGAGGUGAGGGACAUGGGGCAUUUCCUAUCACACACGCCAGCCUGGCUUAGAAGCAGCCCCAUUGUCCUCAGUAUUUAGGGACAAAGCCAAGGGUUCAAGAGGAAUCCUUGACCUGAGUGUGUUGCAGGGGAGAGACACAAUGCCCACAUCCCCAGGACAGGAAGAGCCCGAGAAGGCCGGGUGGUUUCAGAGCUUAGCCCAUUCGGUCUCCUUGCAUUGCUGUGGAACCAAAUGCUGAAGAAGUGACUCGUUGCUCUGUUAACAUGUUUAUUUGCUCCACAGCUGCCUGGAAGGACUUCUCUCAUUUACUGUGGAUAGGCAUUGCACACCAGAAUCUCAUAAGUGGUGCUGACCUCUGCGAGCAGGCUGCGCCAUGUCAGAGCCUCCUCUGUGUGCACUCAGGUGUCUCACCUCCAGUUCUUCAGGUCAAAUAGCCUUUCCGAUUCCAUAUGACCGAGUAAUUUUAAAUAAUGCAGCAGCAAAGAUGAGGCAGGAGAGUAAGGAAAUGAUCUCUUGUUUUUCAAUAGGGCAUUUACUUUAUAUUUGGGUGAGAUUCAGAACAGCUGUUUUAGUGGCUGCAGACUGAAAUGCUGAUCCAAAU